CCUACGGGAGGCAGCAGUGGGGAAUAUUGCGCAAUGGGCGAAAGCCUGACGCAGCGACGCAGCGUGAGGGACGAAGGCCUUCGGGUUGUAAACCUCUUUCAGCGGGGACGAAGCGAAAGUGACGGUACCCGCAGAAGAAGCACCGGCUAACUACGUGCCAGCAGCCGCGGUAAUACGUAGGGUGCAAGCAUUGUCCGGAUUUAUUGGGCGUAAAGAGCUCGUAGGCGGCUUGUCACGUCGGAUGUGAAAACUCGGGGCUCAACCCCGAGCCUGCAUUCGAUACGGGCUAGCUAGAGUGUUGCAGGGGAGACUGGAAUUCCUGGUGUAGCGGUGAAAUGCGCAGAUAUCAGGAGGAACACCGGUGGCGAAGGCGGGUCUCUGGGCAACUACUGACGCUGAGGAGCGAAAGCGUGGGGAGCGAACAGGAUUAGAUACCCUGGUAGUCCACGCCGUAAACGGUGGGCGCUAGGUGUGGGGAACCUUCCACGUUCUCUGUGCCGUAGCUAACGCAUUAAGCGCCCCGCCUGGGGAGUACGGCCGCAAGGCUAAAACUCAAAAGGAAUUGACGG
rnacentral:rRNA from 1 species